rnacentral:tRNA from 2 species
AGAGACUUAGGCUAACAAUCUAGACCAAGGGCCUUCAAAGCCCUCAGUGGGAGUGAAAAUCUCCCAGCCUCUG